UACGUAGGGGGCAAGCGUUGUCCGGAAUCAUUGGGCGUAAAGAGCGUGUAGGCGGCCAGAUAAGUCCGCUGUGAAAGUCCAAGGCUCAACCUUGGGAUGCCGGUGGAUACUGUCGAGCUCGAGUCCGGAAGAGGAGUGUGGAAUUCCUGGUGUAGCGGUGAAAUGCGCAGAUAUCAGGAGGAACACCAAUGGCGAAGGCAGCACUCUGGGACGGUACUGACGCUGAGACGCGAAAGCGUGGGGAGCGAACAGG
rnacentral:rRNA from 1 species